rnacentral:lncRNA from 1 species
GGGGAUUCAGAUGUCCUUCAUAGACAAGGAGUGAAACUCUGGGUUGUCUACUCCUGGAUCCCUUAGCUCAGGACUCCAAACACACAUUCUUCUUAGACCAUAGGGUCAUUCUCAGGGUAUGCUUCAGUUAUAGUUGUCAGGUGCCUCUGCCGUGUACCAACUAUAAUUUAUGUCUGUUUACUCUUGGAGAUACAUUUUCAGUUGGUGGGGUCAGAAGUGAGGAGACAUUAUCUCUCAGGUAGCAAACUCAACCAACCAAGAUAUGAAAAUGACUCAAUAAAGAGAAGAAAAAGUUAAAGUACUUGACAAAAUGAGAUAUGCUGCCACAAUUUUGAACUUUACUUCUUAUGAGAAGGCCCAGGGGAGAUUUAAACACAGACGUGUGCACAGUGGAAAGAUCUGUGACAACAGAGGGAGAAAUUCAGCCAUCCAAGCCAUCCACAA